rnacentral:rRNA from 1 species
AACCUGCCCAAGAGAUCGGGAUAACGCCUGGAAACAGAUGCUAAUACCGGAUAACAACAGAUGAUGCCUAUCAACUGUUUAAAAGAUGGUUCUGCUAUCACUCUUGGAUGGACCUGCGGUGCAUUAGCUAGUUGGUAGGGUAACGGCCUACCAAGGCGAUGAUGCAUAGCCGAGUUGAGAGACUGAUCGGCCACAUUGGGACUGAGACACGGCCCAAACUCCUACGGGAGGCAGCAGAG